AACGAACGCUGGCGGCAUGCCUAACACAUGCCAGUCGAACGAGACCUUCGGGUCUAGUGGCGCACGGGUGCGUAACGCGUGGGAACCUGCCCUUAGGUUCGGAAUAACUCCCCGAAAGGGGUGCUAAUACCGGAUAAUGUCUUCGGACCAAAGAUUUAUCGCCUUUGGAUGGGCCCGCGUUGGAUUAGCUAGUUGGUAGGGUAAAAGCCUACCAAGGCGACGAUCCAUAGCUGGUCUGAGAGGAUGAUCAGCCACACUGGGACUGAGACACGGCCCAGACUCCUACGGGAGGCAGCAGUGGGGAAUAUUGGACAAUGGGCGAAAGCCUGAUCCAGCAAUGCCGCGUGAGUGAUGAAGGCCUUAGGGUUGUAAAGCUCUUUUACCCGGGAUGAUAAUGACAGUACCGGGAGAAUAAGCGCCGGCUAACUCCGCG
rnacentral:rRNA from 1 species